AAGUUAUUUCUCACGAAAAAAUCCCCUCUGAAAAUGAAUUUCGCUCGUUCAAAAGUUGCAGCAGAGGAAUAAGAAGAAAAAGAUCGGCCCCUGAAAAGUGAUCCAUCCAACCUAUAAUACAGCCAUUACCAAGCACAGACACGGCUCCUUAUUGGACUUGUAUGUCGCGCUGCACUGGUUAGGGCAUCUCCUCUCUCUAAUUGCUAAUUGACGUGUUUAUCUGCCUUUUGCUUAUCUGAUACACUGACAGUUUUUAAUGAUUACGUUGGGUGCCAAUGUGGUGUCUCUCCUGCUACACUUCGAGAAUCAAGUCAAUAGAAUACUGAGGCAAGUUCUCUAGAUUAUUAUUUUAUCUUGCAUGCAUGAGACAUGACUAUUUACAGGGAUGAGAGAGUUAGGGGUGCUCUCGGUCUCCUUGAUGUUGGAGAACUUUCUCUGGUAGCGGUGCAGCAGUUAUUUGAGGCCAUUACAUCUACUGCACUUCCUCUGGUUCUGUAUCUCUGGGGAUUUUGUCAUUUCUGAUUCUGUGUUAUCUUUUUAUUUACUUAAUAAAAGGAGUCUUAUUGGAUGUUUGAUGGUAUUGGUUUGGCCAAACUUUUGUAUGUGGGCUUGCCUCUCAGCCAAUAAUGAAAAGGUGCAGCCAAUGAUGAAAAGGUGCCUAGCCGCUUUGCUCAUCCAAUUUGCCAUCCCUACUUGUUCGAGAUGUUUAUGGUCAAUCAGACAUGAUUCCCUCUGAUAUCACAUAUAACUUAUUCUUUGAGCCGUAAACUUGGCUAUCUUGUUCUUUCUCUUUACAUGGACAUCCUUUGUAAUGUUCGAACCCUCUUUGUCCAAUUACAUGUGACAUGUCAAAUUACUUGUUUACAUUUUA